rnacentral:rRNA from 1 species
GAUGAACGCUGGCGGCGUGCUUAACACAUGCAAGUCGAACGGGAUCCAAGGGGUGCUUGCACUUUUUGGUGAGAGUGGCGAACGGGUGAGUAACACGUGAGUAACCUGUCCUUUUCUUUGGGAUAAGCAUUCGAAAGGGUGUUUAAUACCUUAUGUUCUGUCUGCCUCGCAUGGGGUGGGUGGGAAAGGCUCUGGCCGGAUUUGGGUGGGCUCGCGGUCUAUCAGCUUGUUGGUGGGGUGAUGGCUUACCAAGGCUUUGACGGGUAGCCGGCCUGAGAGGGUGGUCGGUCACAUUGGGACUGAGAUACGGCCCAGACUCCUGCGGGAGGCAGCAGUGGGGGAUAUUGCACAAUGGGCGAAAGCCUGAUGCAGCGACGCCGCGUGGGGGAUGAAGGCCUUCGGGUUGUAAACUUCUUUUGCUCUGAACAAGGCAUGCCAGUGGGUGUGUUGAGUGUAGGGGUGGAUUAGCGCCGGCUAACUACGUG